rnacentral:tRNA from 8 species
CGGGGUGUAGCUUAGCCUGGUAGAGCGCCUGGUUUGGGACCAGGAGGUCGCAGGUUCGAAUCCUGUCGCCCCGACCA